CCUGUGUCGAUCUUCUCUGUGACCACCAGGGAGACGCUGUGAAGGAGAAAUGAUGUGGCCUUCAGCUCUGUCUCAUGGUUUCCAAAUGUUAAUGGACCAAUGGACAAUGAUAUCUGGUACUUGCACGGCGAAAAGAUGCAUGACUGCCCACACAUGAGGGCUGCUGAACUCAGAUUUUGAGAUGACGUAAUGAAGGUCCCCAUCAUAGAGGCCCAGGAUUCACCUUUGAUGGACCAGAUACACCUGUGGAGCAGCAACAGAGUUGCUUGGGGAGUGUAGUACCCCAGUCUUGGGGCAAGACAUCUACAGGUUCUGUAUGUAUACCUUGAAGACAUGGUUGAAAGUGAGCAUUUUGCAUCUGGAACUGAACACCUGGAAAGAAAUGCUUCAAGACAUGCCUUGAAAGCAUGUCUCCAGACAGCAGUAUAAACCUUUGUGAUAUUUUGUUUGUUUACCAAAGUAGUCAAUAAAAGGUAAAACGUG